rnacentral:snRNA from 1 species
GUAUAUGAGGGUGAUCUAGCUGGGACAUCUGUCACCCCAUUGAUCGCCAGGGUUGAUUCAGCUGAUCUGGCUGGCUAGGCGGGUGUCCCCUUCCUCCCUCACCGCUCCAUGUGCGUCCCUCCUGAAGCUGCACACUAGGUGGAAGAGGACGACGUUUCCUGCUAGAGGAGGACCGGUCUUCGGUUCCGUCAAGGGUAUACGAGUAGCUGCACUCCCCUGCUAGAAUCUCCAAACAAGCUCUCAAGGUCCAGAGUGCUAGGAUUAUAGGCGUGAGCCACCACACAUGGCCAACCUGUGGGUUUUUGAUAAAUGCCUUUUAUU